GUCCCAGUGCCAACUCACUGCCUUCGGCCUAGGGAUCCCUUCCUUUAGAAGCAGACUUGAGUGGUGAGCAGGUGUUCUGCUCUUUUAUCAUCUGGGUUCUCUCCUCUAAGGUCCCAGAGGGGAGGAUGCAGUGGGCUCUAGCCCUACUUUUCGUUUUCCUGCCUCCAGCCAGUCAAGCGUCUUCCAACUUAGAAAGGAGAAUAUUGGCAGUUACUGGGAAGACUGGAUCAUCUGCUGAAAUCUCUUGUGAUUUUCUCCAACUAAGUCCCACCUACGUCCACUGGUACCAGUUCCAGGAGGGGAAGCCCCCAAGACGCUUCCUCUACUACGACUAUUACAGAUCCAGCAUGGUGGUGGACUCAGGAAUCAGUCCAGCGAAAUACCAUGCUUAUGCGAUCACGAGAAGUAGCUUCAUGCUCGUUAUUAGACGUGCCGAAGAACGCGAUUCUGGUGUGUACUACUGUGCUGCUUGGGAGAGGCACAGCUGGAUCAAGAUCUUUGCAGAGGGGACAAAGCUCAUAGUAACUUCUCCAGACAAAACCUCUAAUAUGGACCUCUCCCCCAAGCCCACGACGUUUCUUCCUUCAGUUGCUGAGACAAACCUCCAUGACGCUGGAACGUAUCUUUGUCUUCUUGAGAAUUUUUUCCCCGAUGUGAUUUAUGUACAUUGGAAAGAAAAGAAUGGCAAAACGGUCCUAGAAUCCCAGCAGGGAGAUACCAUGCAGACCAAUGACACGUACAUGAAAUUUAGCUGGCUGACUGUGACUGGGAAGUCACUGUAUAAAGAACACCAGUGCAUCGUCAAACAUGAGAACAAUAAAAGAAGUAUUGAUCAAGAGAUUCUCUUUCCUCCAAUAAGGAAAGGUGUUAUCACUAUCGAUUCUGAAGAAACUUGUUUGAAAGAUAAAAGUGAUGCACUGCAGCUGCAGCUCACCAACGCCUCCGCGUACUACACCUACCUCCUCCUGCUCCUCAAGAGUGCGGCCUACUCUGCCAUUGUCGCCAUCUGUCUGUUCAGAAGAGCAGCUGUCUGUGGCACUGGAAAGAAUUCUUAGCAGACAGGCAAAAAGGGGUCCUCCUUUCAUCACUGUGUAUCAGCCCUAACAGGGUCCACUGGGGACCUUGCUGGGCUUUCGCUCUGCAUUUGGGCUCUUUCAGUUUCCCUGUGUACUAUUAUUCUCUCAUGUAGUUAUAGUAUAGUGGGUUUCCUAACAGGGGGCAAACUGAGGAGACCUCACUCUGUAACAAUAACAAGGAGCAGCCCACGGCAGCCUGACACCACCCUCUGCGUCCCCUCCAUCAACUGUGUCGCCCUAG